GCCUUCGUGGUGUAGUGGUUAGCACGCUCGACGCGUAUUCGAGAGGUCUGUGGUUCGAAUCCCGGCGAAGACA
rnacentral:tRNA from 1 species